CGUGCUAAGGUAGCAUAAUCAUUUGUCUUUUAAUUGAAGACUAGAAUGAAUGGCUUGACGAGAAUUUAGCUGUCUCUUAUAUUCUACUAUAAAUUAAUUUUUGUGUGAAGAAGCACAAAUUAAUAAAAGGGACGAGAAGACCCUAUUGAGUUUUAAUUCUCAUAUUAGUAGCAUUUUAUAUUUGUAUAUAAACUAUACUAAUAUAAAUUUUAGUUGGGGCAACUGAGGAGCAAAAAAUAAUCUCCUUAUUAUAAACCAAAAUGAUAAUUAGAUGAUCCUUUUAUAAAGAUUAAUAAAUAUAAUUACCAUAGGGAUAACAGCGUAAUCCCCCCUAAGAGUUCUAAUUGAAGGGGGGGGUUGGCACCUCG
rnacentral:rRNA from 1 species